AGAGGUCUGGAGUCGCUCAUGCGGUCAGACACUAUUUCAAUAUAUGUAAAUGCUUCUAGCGCCUACCACACAGACAUGCAUGCCAUAAGACUUGCUAUUGUGCUUUCCUUCUGCUUCUUCACUGGCUUGUGUUCCUUUCACAGAUGGAAAACCUUCCCUUGGAACUGGCAGGGGGAGGGGUCAGGCAGACCUUGAUGGGGUUCUUACCCUCUCAGAAUGUGCUGCUCUGGGCAUAACACCACCUUCCUUGCAAAGGCUGUUUUCCAUUGAGUCUUUGAAUGAUACCACAUAUUUAAAAGUUUAGCAUAUGAACAUUCAAAAAACAUUAGCUCCUGAGGAGUGGGGAAUAUCCACCCUCCCCCCCCCAGCCUCCUCCCCGCUUUCCACAGAAUGAAAAUAAUCUCUGGCAGAAAUAUGUAAGAAAUGUAAAUGUAUCUCAAGUUAGAAAAUAACAUAUAGCUGACCACAUGUAUCUAGGACCAUUAUGUCUGCAGUUUCCCCUCUCUACUCCACUUCUCUUCAGCCUGCACAGCAUCCCACAAGGGUGGCGUGAAUCCAGCUGACAUCUCUCCAUAGGAAACUGUCCCUUACAUGCUCGGAUGUCUCAGCUCCCCAUCACCUGUCUGAUAGUGUACUGAUUCUGUCUCUGUUGGGGCCCUUGCUAUUCAGACAUUGUUAUAAGGAAGUACCCAGAAUUGGGGCAUUGGAAUAAGCAUCCCUGCCGCACAGCAUGUAGUAGGUACUCAGUUAAUUUUGUUGAAAAAAAUGCAUAUGUAUCUUGUCUCACCAUUUAAUAUUAGAAUUAAAUAAAAUUAAUUGUAGAAAAAAACUGAAAUUUAAGAUCUGUCAUGUAGAUAGAAACCAUGGUUCUGUUAGGGGAGUUCUAGGGUAUAAUCUAUAAACAGAGUUUUAAAACUGAAAAUAUGCCUGUCAUAAAUAUUUUAUGCAAAUUCUAAACUCUUACAUGUAUUUUGGUUAGUUAAUAUAUACUCAUUAUCGCAAUCAGCUCAUAAAUAUUCACUAAUUAAUCAUGUAAUUUGGUGUUCAUUUCUAAAGCCUUUUUAAAAACACUACCUUGACAGUUCAUUUAAAUAUUCAUAAAUGCUUUAUUUCUAAGACAUGGAAAAGAAAAUGAAUCUAACAUCCAAUCUGUGGUUUGUACUUAUUUUCUCAAGAGAAAUAGUGAAUGCAUAAAAUCAAUAGUAACAAAGACUGUUCUUUAGAGUGUUCUUGUUAUGCACGUGUAACACUGCUGUAUGCUCCAGUGAAUGAGUGCCACUGUAUCAUUACAAUGCAUCUAGCAACAGAAACAAUCCCUAUGCAGAGUCUAAGCUCUGACAGCCAGCAAGUUAUCUAAGUUAUUAAUUCUGGUAGAGUUUUACCUUCAGCAUAUAGUCUCUUAAAAGGAUGUUGUUCCUCUGCACACACAGCAGAUUGCUACAGACUGAAUCUUUCCUGUUCCCCAAAGAUCAUGAGUCCCACUUGGUUUUUGGUCAACAUGAUACCAACUAGAGUCAUCUGGGAAGAGAAACUUCCAUUGGGAAAAUGCCCCCAUCAGGUUGCCCGUCAGUACGUCCUUGAUAGCUAAUUAUUAGAAGAGGGCCUGCAGGGAUGGUACCAACCCUGGGCAGGUGGCACCAACCCUGGGCAGGUGGCACCAACCCUGGGCAGGUGGCCCUGGGUGAAAAAACAAAGCAGCUUGGCAAUUCCGGAAGCAGUGUUCCUUCAUGGCUUGUUCCUUCAUGUUCCUUCAGUUUGUCUCCAGGUUCCUGCCCUGAGUUCCUGCUUUCCCUUCUCCUGAUGAUAGACUGUAACUUGUAAGCCAAACAAACCCUCUCCUCUGCAGGUUGCUUUUGGUCAUGGUAUUUUACCACAGCAACAGUAAAGCAACCAGUAGACCAAGCUACGGGCAUGGUCUGUGGUGCUACCAGGAGUUGGUGGGAUCUUCAGGAGGUAGGGUCUUGUAAAGGGAAGUUACAUCAUUGAGGCAUGCUUUUGGGGGAGCACUGAUACCCCAGUCCAUCCUUCUUUUUGUUCUCUGACCACCAUGAAGUAUGAAGCUUUGCUUUAUUAUUAUAAUGCCCCGCCUUGUCAAAGACUCAAAGUGAUGGGACCCACCAACCAUAGACUGAAAUCACGACCCACAAAAAAACCUUUUUUUCUUUUUAGGUUGAUAAUCUCAGGUGAUUUGUUCCAGCGACAUAAGCUAAGAAAGAGGUAUAGAAGGGGCAGGAAGUAGCUUGGGGGAUUACUGUUCACUCACUAGGCACGCCCCCCUCAUGCCCAACGUUGUAUCGGAGUUGGCAGGCAGAGCUCAAGUGUAGCACACAAAGAUGCAUCAGCAUCCUACAGAGCCACAGCUGACACGCUCCACAUCCAUCACCCAGUGAUCACCCAGUGCACAGCAUCCAGCCCAGGCUCCUCACCUCCACUGUCACCUGAGUCACCAGUUCAAGAGCUUUCUCUAAUUUACCAGUUUUUUAAAAAAUAAGGCACAGAGAUCAAUCAAAUUGUGUUUAUAAGUACAAACCUUAUUUGAAAUUUAAAACAUGUACUUCCUAAAGAUAUAAAGUUUCAGUAAGUAUACAUACCCUGACUGUGUACAGGCAAGAGCAAAUUACGUCCACCAUUAAGGAAAGGGACUGCAUGUGUGUACCAACUUCAGCAUUUACUCUUCAUCUCACUGGAGUCUAUUGAAAAGGAGGUGAAUACCUGUAGAGGGUCAAAUAUCACUGUAAACCUUUCUUGUAUUUACAGAGCCCACUCUGGACUCAGCCGUCUUGUAUUUUGAUUUAUGGAGUUAGUAUGUAUUAUGCUUACAUAUGAUUUUAACUGGUUGUGGUUUUUUCUUGUCUUUUCUUUUUUUUUUUUAUUUUUUAUUUUUUGGUUGUCUGUAUUUAAACACAUAAAACACAAAUCAUCUUUCUCUUGGAAUAGCUGAUUCCCUUUCCCUCCAGUUACAUAGAAACACAUUCAUUUAACACACUUCAUGUAUGUUUGUGCUGUCCUUUCAGAGUGAUUUGGUUUAAAUAUCAUUCUUGCCGGUUUACGUAAUUACAGAGAUGUAUUUUUAAGAAAAAGCAAGCCUUUUUAUUCCCCAAAGAUUAGCCCUCGAGUGCCAUCUUGUGGUUAAAGAGAGAAUUGGCAUCAGUGCUGACAAAUGCUUACAUUCUAAAAUGUAGAUAAGGAAAAAAAAAUAGAAUCAAGAAAAAG
rnacentral:lncRNA from 1 species